CUUUAUUGGAGAGUUUGAUCCUGGCUCAGGAUGAACGCUGGCGGCGUGCCUAAUACAUGCAAGUCGAGCGAAUGGAUUAAGAGCUUGCUCUUAUGAAGUUAGCGGCGGACGGG
rnacentral:rRNA from 18 species